rnacentral:rRNA from 1 species
GACGAACGCUGGCGGCGUGCUUAACACAUGCAAGUCGAACGAAGUGGCGAACGGGUGAGUAACGCGUAAUCAACCUGCCCUUCAGAGGGGGAUAACAGUUGGAAACGACUGCUAAUACCGCAUACUGAAGGAGGGGAUUGCGUCUGAUGAGGUAGUUGGAGGGGUAACGGCCCACCAAGGCGAUGAUCAGUAGCCGGUCUGGUGGGAUGGUCGGCGACAUUGGGACUGAGACACGGCACAGACUCCUACGGGAGGCAGCAGUGGGGAAUCUUCCGCAAUGGCCGAAAGUCUGACGGAGCAUGGCCGCGUGGGUGAUGACGGCCUUCGGGUUGUAAAGCUCUGUUAAGCGGGACGCGGUACCGGAAUAGAAAGCCACGGCUAACUACGUGCCAGCCGCCGCGGUAAUUC